GAUGAACGCUGGCGGCGUGCCUAAUACAUGCAAGUCGAGCGAACAGACGCGGAGCUUGCUCCGCUGACGUUAGCGGAGGACGGGUGAGUAACGCGUGGAUAACCUACCUAUAAGUCUGAGAUAACUUGGGAAAACGGGAGCAAAUACCGGAUAAUAUAUUGAACCGUGUGGGUCAAUAGUGAAAGACGGUGUUGCUGGCACUUAUAGAUGGAUCCGCGCCGGAUUAGCUGGUUGGUAAUGUAAAGGCUUACCAAGGCGACGAGGCGUAGGCGACGUGAAAGGGUGAUUGGCCACAUUGGAAGUGAGACACGGUCCAUACUCCUACGGGAGGGAGCAGUAGGGUAUGUUACGCAACGGUCGAAAGCCUGACGGAGCAACGCCGAGUGAGUUAUGAAGGUCUUCGGAUCGUAAAACUCGGUUAGUAGGGAAGAACAAAUGUGUAAGUAAAUAUGCACGUCUUGACGGUACCUAGUAAGAAAGCAACGGCUAACUACGUG
rnacentral:rRNA from 1 species